rnacentral:lncRNA from 1 species
GUGAAUAUGUUUUGUAUGCAAGAAUGAGAAUGAUGACAAAAUAUCUGGAAAUCAGAAGGGCAGAUGGUGAUAGUCAUCAGCUCCAUUUAGCAAGAUAUUCUGGUUCUCUUUAUGGACAAAUGGCAGUUGCCUGGUGCUUGGGUCUGAGACUGCUUUGAGCGAUUGAUUUC